UGCAGUCGAACGAUGAACCUCACUUGUGGGGGGAUUAGUGGCGAACGGGUGAGUAACACGUGAGUAACCUGCCCUUAACUCUGGGAUAAGCCUGGGAAACUGGGUCUAAUACCGGAUAUGACUCCUCAUCGCAUGGUGGGGGGUGGAAAGCUUUUUGUGGUUUUGGAUGGACUCGCGGCCUAUCAGCUUGUUGGUGAGGUAAUGGCUUACCAAGGCGACGACGGGUAGCCGGCCUGAGAGGGUGACCGGCCACACUGGGACUGAGACACGGCCCAGACUCCUACGGGAGGCAGCAGUGGGGAAUAUUGCACAAUGGGCGCAAGCCUGAUGCAGCGACGCCGCGUGAGGGAUGACGGCCUUCGGGUUGUAAACCUCUUUCAGUAGGGAAGAAGCGAAAGUGACGGUACCUGCAGAAGAAGCGCCGGCUAACUACGUGCCAGCAGCCGCGGUAAUACGUAGGGCGCAAGCGUUAUCCGGAAUUAUUGGGCGUAAAGAGCUCGUAGGCGGUUUGUCGCGUCUGCCGUGAAAGUCCGGGGCUCAACUCCGGAUCUGCGGUGGGUACGGGCAGACUAGAGUGAUGUAGGGGAGACUGGAAUUCCUGGUGUAGCGGUGAAAUGCGCAGAUAUCAGGAGGAACACCGAUGGCGAAGGCAGGUCUCUGGGCAUUAACUGACGCUGAGGAGCGAAAGCAUGGGGAGCGAACAGGAUUAGAUACCCUGGUAGUCCAUGCCGUAAACGUUGGGCACUAGGUGUG
rnacentral:rRNA from 2 species